rnacentral:rRNA from 1 species
UACGUAGGGUGCGAGCGUUAAUCGGAAUUACUGGGCGUAAAGCGUGCGCAGGCGGUUGGCAAAGUCAGCUGUGAAAGCCCCCGGCUCAACUGGGGAGGGUCAUUCGAUACUGAUCGACUUGAAGGCAGGAGAGGGAAGCGGAAUUCCCGGUGUAGUGGUGAAAUGCGUAGAUAUCGGGAGGAACACCAGUGGCGAAGGCGGCUUCCUGGCCUGUUCUUGACGCUGAGGCGCGAAAGCUAGGGGAGCAAACGGG